AUUGAACGCUGGCGGCAGGCCUAACACAUGCAAGUCGAGCGGAGAGGCACAAGGGGGAGUAAUGCCUAGGCAUAUGCAUAGUCGUGGGGGAUAACGUCCGGAAACGGCUGCUAAUACCGCAUACUAUAGAUUGAGUCUCGGUCGGAUUAGAUGGAUGUUGGGGUAAAGACCUACCAAGGCGACGAUCCGUAUCUGGUCUGAGAGGAGGAUCAGUCACAUGGGAACGGGAACACGGUCCGUACUCCAACGGAAGGCAGCCGUGGGGAAUAUUGGACAAUGGGCGAAAGCCGGAUCCGGCCAUGCGGCUGGUGUGAAGAAGGUAUUCGGAUUGUAAAGCACUUUAAGUUGGGAGGCGUUACAAACAGAAUAAGGACCGGCUAACUUCGUGCCAGCAGCCGCGGUAAUUC
rnacentral:rRNA from 1 species